rnacentral:rRNA from 1 species
GUGCCAGCAGCCGCGGUAAAACGUAGGACACAAGCGUUAUCCGGAAUUACUGGGCGUAAAGGGCGUGCAGGCGGUUGGGUAAGUUAGGCGUGAAAGACUUCGGCUAAACCGGGGGAGGUCGUCUGAUACUGCUCAACUUGAGUAUGGUAGAGGCGUGUAGAAUUCCGGGUGUAGUGGUGAAAUGCGUAGAGAUCCGGAGGAAUACCAGUGGCGAAGGCGGCACGCUGGGCCAUAACUGACGCUAAGACGCGAAAGCAUGGGUAGCGAACGGGAUUAGAAACCCGCGUAGUCC